rnacentral:rRNA from 1 species
GACGAACGCUGGCGGCGUGCCUAAUACAUGCAAGUAGAACGUUGAAGAGAGGAGCUUGCUCUUCUUGGCUGAGUUGCGAACGGGUGAGUAACGCGUAGGUAACCUGCCUCGUAGCGGGGGAUAACUAUUGGAAACGAUAGCUAAUACCGCAUAACAAUGGAUGACCCAUGUCAUUUAUUUGAAAGGGGCAAAUGCUCCACUACAAGAUGGACCUGCGUUGUAUUAGCUAGUAGGUGAGGUAACGGCUCACCUAGGCGACGAUACAUAGCCGACCUGAGAGGGUGAUCGGCCACACUGGGACUGAGACACGGCCCAGACUCCUACGGGAGGCAGCAGUAGGGAAUCUUCGGCAAUGGGGGCAACCCUGACCGAGCAACGCCGCGUGAGUGAAGAAGGGUUUCGGAUCGUAAAGCUCUGUUGUAAGUCAAGAACGAGUGUGAGAGUGGAAAGUUCACAAUGUGACGGUAGCUUACCAGAAAGGGACGGCUAACUACGUG